rnacentral:rRNA from 1 species
UAGAGUUUGAUCAUGGCUCAGAUUGAACGCUGGCGGCAGGCCUAACACAUGCAAGUCGAGCGGUAGCAGGUCCUUCGGGAUGCUGACGAGCGGCGGACGGGUGAGUAAUGCAUAGGAAUCUGCCCGGUAGUGGGGGAUAACCUGGGGAAACCCAGGCUAAUACCGCAUACGUCCUACGGGAGAAAGGGGGCUCCGGCUCCCGCUAUUGGAUGAGCCUAUGUCGGAUUAGCUAGUUGGUGAGGUAAUGGCUCACCAAGGCAACGAUCCGUAGCUGGUCUGAGAGGAUGAUCAGCCACAUCGGGACUGAGACACGGCCCGAACUCCUACGGGAGGCAGCAGUGGGGAAUAUUGGUCAAUGGGGGCAACCCUGAUCCAGCCAUGCCGCGUGUGUGAAGAAGGCCCUCGGGUUGUAAAGCACUUUCAGCGAGGAAGAACGCCUGUCGGUUAAUACCCGGCAGGAAAGACAUCACUCGCAGAAGAAGCACCGGCUAACUCCGUGCCAGCAGCCGCGGUAAUACGGAGGGUGCAAGCGUUAAUCGGAAUUACUGGGCGUAAAGCGCGCGUAGGUGGCUUGAUAAGCCGGUUGUGAAAGCCCCGGGCUCAACCUGGGAACGGCAUCCGGAACUGUCAAGCUAGAGUACAGGAGAGGAAGGUAGAAUUCCCGGUGUAGCGGUGAAAUGCGUAGAGAUCGGGAGGAAUACCAGUGGCGAAGGCGGCCUUCUGGACUGAUACUGACACUGAGGUGCGAAAGCGUGGGUAGCAAACAGGAUUAGAUACCCUGGUAGUCCACGCCGUAAACGAUGUCGACCAGCCGUUGGGUGCCUAGCGCACUUUGUGGCGAAGUUAACGCGAUAAGUCGACCGCCUGGGGAGUACGGCCGCAAGGUUAAAACUCAAAUGAAUUGACGGGGGCCCGCACAAGCGGUGGAGCAUGUGGUUUAAUUCAAUGCAACGCGAAGAACCUUACCUACCCUUGACAUCUACAGAAGCCGGAAGAGAUUCUGGUGUGCCUUCGGGAACUGUAAGACAGGUGCU